CCAGAGGUUACUGCUAUCGAGGUUCGACUAAGCCAUGCGAGUCGAAUGUAGCAAUACAUGGCGAACUGCUCAGUAACACGUGGACAACCUGCCCUUAGGACGGGGAUAAACCCGGGAAACUGGGUAUAAUACCCGAUAGGUCUCGAUUGCUGGAAUGCAUCGAGAUUUAAAGCUCCGGCGCCUUAGGAUGGAUCUGCGGCCGAUUAGGUUGUUGUUGGGGUAACGGCCCAACAAGCCAGUAAUCGGUACGGGUUGUGGGAGCAAGAGCCCGGAGUUGGAUUCUGAGACACGAAUCCAGGCCCUACGGGGCGCAGCAGGCGCGAAAACUUUACAAUGCGGGCAACCGUGAUAAGGGAACCUCGAGUGCCUGUACAUGCAGGCUGUUCGGGUGUCUAAAACACACCUGAAGAAAGGGCCGGGCAAGACCGGUGCCAGCCGCCGCGGUAAUACCGGCGGCUCGAGUGGUGGCCACUUUUAUUGGGCUUAAAGCGUUCGUAGCUGGGUUGUUAAGUCUCUUGGGAAAUCUGACGGCUCAACCGUCAGGCGUCUAAGGGAUACUGGCAAUCUUGGAACCGGGAGAGGUGAGGGGUACUUCGGGGGUAGGAGUGAAAUCCUGUAAUCCUCGAGGGACCACCUGUGGCGAAGGCGCCUCACCAGAACGGCUUCGACAGUGAGGGACGAAAGCUGGGGGAGCAAACCGGAUUAGAUACCCGGGUAGUCCCAGCCGUAAACGAUGCGCGUUAGGUGUAUCGGUGACCACGAGUCACCGAGGUGCCGAAGGGAAACCGUGAAGCGUGCCGCCUGGGAAGUACGGUCGCAAGGCUGAAACUUAAAGGAAUUGGC
rnacentral:rRNA from 1 species